UGAGUACUGGUUCCAAGUGACAUGACCCAGCGAUUAUGUUUACAGUCUGGACUUCUGAUCAAGAGCGUUCUUGAAAUUUUCCUUCAGUUUAAGACAUUUUCAUGCAGGCAGAGUGUUCUUCCCCUAAAGGCACUUGACACUUACUCACUUUUUAAGUGUGUAGUGAACAGUACUAAGAUCUAAUAAUGAAAACAAGUUACAUGGCUCCCUAAGAACAAGUACUAAGAAAUGCAGUAGCCAACAAGAUUACCUACCAUGCAAUCAUUAAGGAGAACCAAAGUAAGAGAGCCACUCAAACCAGACUUUGAAUGCUACUAAAAUUAAAGUAGUUCUUUGAUGAAUAUGAAUGAGUAGGGAAAGGAUUCUUUGUGAUAGUAAUAUCUCUGUGGUAAGAGAAGGGUGGUAUGUGAGUUUUAGUCUAUAGAUGUAUGGCAAAUUCAGUGACAACAAUCAAAUGGUCGAAGACUGACAAUAGCACAGUUUUACUCUGUGAAGGUAAUGUUCAGGACGAAUUUAAAGAAUUACUUUUCAAAAAGAUUCUAGGGUUAAAUUGCUAUAAAACUUUAUUAUCUAAGAACAUUAUUAUUAUUGAGAAGAGCAAGAUAAGAUAUUUGCCAGUUCUGCUUGAAUCUUUGCCUGGAGGAGGAAAAAUGUUUCAUUGUGCAGGAAAUGUGUAAGGAAGUCUUACCUCCCUUUUCUCAUCUCUUGAGGACUUAAAAGUGGAAAUAACAAUGGUUGGGGAAAGAUUUCCGCUCUAAAGAAUGGUUUUCUAGUUUUCUUGAAAGUUGAUAAUCACAGCUGUCUAGCAAGCAUUUCCUUGGGAACUUGAAGCUGUUUAUUCACUUUGGUCUUUCCUCCCAGGGGAAUGAAGUGAGGCCAGUGGCCGGGUCUGCUGAGUCCGCAGCACUCAGACUACGUGCACCUCUGCAGCAGGUGCAGGCCCAGUUGUCACCCCUCCAGAACAUCUCCUCAUGGAUUCUGGCGGUAUUGACUCUUCAGAUUCAGAGUCUGAUAUCCUGUUGGGCAUUCUGGACAACUUGGACCCAAUCAUGUUCUUCAAAUGCCCUUCCCCAGAGCCUGCCAGCCUGGAGGAGCUCUCAGAGGUCUACCCAGAAGGACCCAGUUCCUUACCAGCCUCCCUUUCUCUGUCAGUGGGGACGUCAUCAGCCAAGCUGGAAGCCAUUAAUGAACUAAUUCGUUUUGACCACAUAUAUACCAAGCCCCUAGUCUUAGAGAUACCCUCUGAGACAGAGAGCCAAGCUAAUGUGGUAGUGAAAAUUGAGGAAGCACCUCUCAGCCCCUCAGAGAAUGAUCACCCUGAAUUCAUUGUCUCAGUGAAGGAAGAACCUGUAGAAGAUGACCUCGUUCCGGAGCUGGGUAUCUCAAAUCUGCUUUCAUCCAGCCACUGCCCAAAGCCAUCUUCCUGCCUACUGGAUGCUUACAGUGACUGUGGAUAUGGGGGUUCCCUUUCCCCCUUCAGUGACAUGUCCUCUCCGCUUGGUGUAAACCAUUCUUGGGAGGACACUUUUGCCAAUGAACUCUUUCCCCAGCUGAUUAGUGUCUAAGGAAUGAUCCAAUACUGUUGCCCUUUUCCUUGACUAUUACACUGCCUGGAGGAUAGCAGAGAAGCCUGUCUGUGCUUCAUUCAAAAAGCCAAAAUAGAGAGUAUACAGUCUUAGAGAAUUCCUCUAUUUGUUCAAAUCUCAUAGAUGACCCCCAGGUAUUGUCUUUUGACAUCCAGCAGUCCAAGGUAUUGAGACAUAUUACUGUAAGUAAGAAAUAUUACUAUAAUUGAGAACUACGGCUUUUAAGAUUGUACUUUUAUCUUAAAAGGGUGGUAGUUUUCCCUAAAAUACUUAUUAUGUAAGAGUCAUUAGACAAAUGUCUUGAAGUAGACAUGGAAUUUAUGAAUGGUUAUCAUUUCUCUUCCCCCUUUUUGGCAUCCCAGCUUGCCUCCAGUUUUAGGUCCUUUAGUUUGCUUCUGUAAGCAACGAGAACACCUGCUGAGGGGGCUCUUUCCCUCAUGUAUACUUCAAGUAAGAUCAAGAAUCUUUUGUGAAAUUAUAGAAAUUUACUAUGUAAAUGCUUGAUGGAAUUUUUUCCUGCUAGUGUAGCUUCUGAAAGGUGCUUUCUCCAUUUAUUUAAAACUACCCAUGCAAUUAAAAGGUACAGUGCAG
rnacentral:sRNA from 1 species